rnacentral:misc_RNA from 1 species
GGAGGAGGACGCCGAAGGUGGGGCUAAUGACUGGGGUGAAGUCGUAACAAGGUAGCCGUACCGGAAGGUGCGGCUGGAUCACCUCCUAACAGGGAGACAACAAAAUGUAAAUAUUAAUUUUGUCACCUUAGGUCGAUCGGUAUCUCAGAUUCUUAUUUUUUAAGAAUUUCAGUUUCUAAGUUUUUUCUAGGUCACACCCAUCACUUUUUCCUGGGCCAUUAGCUCAGGUGGUUAGAGCGCACCCCUGAUAAGGGUGAGGUCCCUGGUUCAAGUCCAGGAUGGCCCAUAUCUCUAUGUUGGGGGUAUAGCUCAGUUGGUAGAGCGCCUGCUUUGCAAGCAGGAUGUCAGCGGUUCGAGUCCGCUUACCUCCACUGAAUACCACCUCUUACAUAUAUUUUAAAGAGGGAAAUUGUUUUUGAGUCGUGUCCUAAUUUGCUCUGAGCGAAUCUAGCUUCCUAUUUCAUUCAAUAAAUAAGAUGCUGGACUCAUUGAAUUUUUUCAUUGUUUUCAGAGAACCUUGACAACUGCAUAGAUUAUUUUUGAAGACAAUAAGCAUCUUUAAUGAUGCAGAUUUAUUAUUUGUGCGAAUGCAUUAAAUAACAAUUCUAUUAAGCUGAUGCUUCAAUUAUUGAAGUUAUUGGUCAAGCUACAAAGGGCUCACGGAGGA